GGUCCUGUAGUUCAACGGAUAGAAUAAGCGUUUCCUAAACGCUUGAUACGGGUUCGAUUCCCGUCGGGACUACGA
rnacentral:tRNA from 1 species